GGAAUGUGGCUUACUGGUAGAGCACUUGCCUAGCAUGCAUGAGGCCCUGGGUUCGAUUCCUUGGUACCA
rnacentral:tRNA from 1 species